rnacentral:lncRNA from 1 species
GUCUGCGCUGUGCUCUUGCAGUCAUCUUUACAGGACGGCCACUCAUAGGGAGAGUAGCAGCAGUGCUGAACUUUCUCCAUUUAUAGACAAUUUGUCUUACCGUGGACAGAAAGGAGAUACUUUUAUAACCCUUUCCAGCUUUAUGCAAGUCAACAAUUCUUAAUUGUAGGUCUUCUGAGAGCUCUUUUGUGCGAGGCAUCAUUCACAUCAGGC